rnacentral:SRP_RNA from 1 species
CCAUCGCGAUGGAUAUCUAUGAACCAGGUCAGGGCAGGAAUGCAGCAGCCUUAAGUAUCUUAUUCAUGUGCGGUGGUUUGU